CGUAACUAGCGUACUAAAUACUGUUUAUAGAGAGAUAGCUGUCAUAGACGCGCAUUUAACUAUACAGGCAAGCACACCUUCAGCUAACCUAGACCGGUGAAGCCCCGGAACUAAGCCUGUAUUGUGCAUGUUGAGUGCAAAACGUUGGCGCUCCCAUUGACGAGAAUGGAGAAUAUCAGACAUUUGAAGGUAAACAGCAGGUAGGAAGGACAUUGGGAAGGUGAUGGAGGUUGAGAGAGAACAGCCCCAGGGCACUUGGCUUCCUCCAGAUACAAACAUGCUGCUGGUUCAAGUAUGUGGGAUUGGACCAUGUAGGUAGAAGACUACCAUACGUAGAAGACUACACCAGCAGGACUACAGAGGGUACACUACAAGAUGCAAACCACUGAUAAGCCCGAAGAAUGGAAGGGCGAGAUUACAGUUUGCUAAAAAAGUGCCUGAAAGAGCAGAAAAAGUGAAAAAAAAAAGAAGUAAACUUCAACCCCAUUGUCAUUGUAUCAUGAACUCGCUAGAGUACAGAACUAAAACGGGAAUUAUGGCAGCAAUUACUUUACAUUAACAUACCUUAAUAGUCCUUUUUUGAAUACUCCACACUAUACCAGCAGCAAGUACUGAGAGCAUAACUGAGCAAGCUAUAAUUGUGUUCGCUGUAACAUACUGCUGUGGAUAAGGUAUCAGUUGUCAUAUAUAUACUAAAUAUAUGAGCCCACAUUCUUACAUGCUUGUUGGAAUUUAAAUGGCCUGUCCACUACUUCCAAUUCAACAGCACACAUCUCUUACAUGUUAAAGCACUGCCAGUAGAUGUGAAAUACUGUCUGCUGACAUUGCUGGUACUGUAUGUACAGUACUGUGCAGAAGUCUUAGGCACCCUAUACUUUAUUAUAUAUAUGUUUUUGUGUUAGUGAACACAUUUGAGAUUUCCAAGUAUUCAUUAUCCAAAAGAUUUAAUUUUACAGAGCCAUUUUUGUAUUUAAUUUAAAAAGUAAUAUAUUACUGUAAGCAAUUGACUACUUUUUACAAAAAAACUUGAUCAAGGCUGUCUGAGAUCAGAAGCAAGGAGCCAACCAAAGUCUGCAGAAGAACUGUGGCAAGUUCUCCAACAUGCUUGGUACAACCUCCCUGCUGAUUGUCUUAUAGAACUGCAGGACAGCGUUGGCCAUCUCAGAGAAGUGAUGCAGUUUUAAUGCCAAAGGGUGGUCACAAAAAAUAUUUGAUUCAGUUUUUAACUAUUCUGCCAAAUUACUAAAAUGUAAUGUAAAAUGUAUAGUACAUUUAUUUAGGAACUUAUUAUUUUAAUAAGAAUUAUUUUUGAAAGAAUCUUAUCUGUACAGAAUGUUAUACAGGUGCCUAAGACUUUUGCACAGUACAGUAUAUACUAAAUAUAUGAGCCCACAUUCUUACAUGCUUGUUGGAAUUUAAAUGGCCUGUCCACUACUGCCAAUUCAACAGCACACAUCUCUUACAUGUUAAAGCACUGCCAGUAGAUGAUUGCUGUCUGUUGACAUUUCUGGUACUGUAUGUAUGUUUGUGGACCUCUUGGUAUUUUACUUAAUUUGAUUUGGGAAUGGGUCUGGACAUUAAUUGACAAAUAAUUAUGUAACAUCAGUUUGUUUGUUCAGGCUUAAGAACUAAACAAUAUCUUUUUGUUCUUGUUCAGACAAUAUGUCACAUUUUAAUUUCUCUUGAGUUAGUAUGUAAUUGUGUGCAUGUAGAGGCAAACUGGAGCUGUUUCUGGACUGAAAGUGGUCUUGGAACAUCAAAUCACAAUAAACCACAAUCAUUUUGGCAGCAAAAAAAAAGACAUUACUCAAUAAAACAUUGAAACAUGAG